GACGUAGGUGGCGAACGUUAUCCGGAAUUAUUGGGCGUAAAGGGUGCGUAGGCGGCAUGAUAAGUUAUUGGCGGCAAAUCGAGGCUCAACCUCGUGGAAGCUGAUAAUACUGUCUUGCUUGAGUGCAGAAGAGGUUAACGGAACUCCAUGUGAAGCGGUAAAAUGUGUAGAUAUAUGGAAGAACAUCAAUAACGGCGAAGGCAGUUAACUAUUCUGUUACUGACGUUGAGGCACGAAAGCGUGGGGAGCAAAAGG
rnacentral:rRNA from 1 species